rnacentral:lncRNA from 1 species
UCCUGUAUCCUUGGUACUACUGUAGUAGAAAUCUGCGUUACCUCUGUUGUGGCAUAAGGAAGAAGUGGGAGAUGGCUGGACAUGCCUGAAGGAGAAACCCAGAAGCCCUUCCACAGCCUAGAUGCCACAGGGAGGCAGGACAGAAGUGUUAGCACAGUCGUGCAAAACAUGCAGGUGACACCGAAGUGGCCGAGAGUAUUAAUGUCACUGUUGAAUCCCGAUUUCCUGGAUGGCAGCGGAGGAUCUGCAGGCGAGCAGUCACACAGCCGCAUCUAUCUGGCAGAGAGCCAUCUCCACGGGCUGAGGCAGAACAGGAGAAACAAACAGAAAACAACAGGCUUUCUGCACUGCGUGUCACGUCUCCC